rnacentral:snoRNA from 1 species
CUAAAUGAUGAUCCCAUAUUCACACUGUGUGAGGCCCAGUUUAGUUACUGGGCUUAUGAUCACAACAACCAAAAUACUGAUUUAAUGACUCUGAAA